rnacentral:sRNA from 1 species
AUCGGUGGAACUUGGCACAACCGCUGCAUUAACUCUCCCAACAGCACAUACGACCUGGCCUUCAACGACGAAGGAUGGGUCUUUCCCGAGAGAACGGGACCGGACAAAGGCGUCCUGCCAGGCAACUGGCGGGACGCC